rnacentral:lncRNA from 1 species
CUUCCAGGGAGGUCAGUGAGGUUUGCAUCAAUUUCUGGCAUAGAGGUGCUAAGGAGCAACAGGAGGCACUUCACCCAUAGUACUGCAAGGCCCCAGGCACUAAGCACACAGUGGUGAGGAGAGUGAUCUGUGGGAAGGCAGUGGAGAACAGCAGCACUCUCAAGAAAUUGAUCUUCAUUUGCACUACAAAGGAAAGGAUGAAGCUCAGAGCCUGCACCAUCUUCAGGAAGAAACAUGUUCCCCUCUGGUAAAAAGAAGCUCUCCCCAUCCAAGUAGGUGAAAAAUUCACCUCCUUGAAAUGAAAAGUGAAUUCCAAUAUUUUCUCUCUUCCUUUAGCUGUCUUUUGUUUAUUGUAAGAUUCCCCACUGUAGUAGAGGAUGGGGACUCACUCAUAUGAUUUUUAGAUAUCAAAAUAUACCUAUGAUAUCCAGUUUUCAAAGGUUCUGUGCUAUAAUUAUGUAAAUCUUCUGCACAGACACACUUUGUCUCCUAAGUUAUUUAUAACCCCAGGAGCUACCAAUCAGUCAGUCUCACCUCAAAAGAGGUGGGAAAGAUCAUGGAGCAUCCUGGAAGCUAUGCCAAGACACAUGGAAGACGGAGGUGAUACAGGAGAACCAGCAUGACUACACCAAGGGCAAAUCUUGUUUGACCAACCUAGUGGCCUUUUACGAUGGUAUCACUGCAUCAAUGGACAAGGGAAGAGACACUGAUGUCAUCUAUCUGGACUUCAGUAAGGCCUAUGACAUGUUAUGUCACAAUCUCCUUCUCUCCAAGUUGGAAAUAUGGAUUUGAUGGGUGGACUGUUCGAUGGAUGAGGAACUGGCUGCAGGAUCAAGUCUUGAGAGUGGUGGUCAGUGGCUCAGUGUCUGGAUGGAGACCAGUGACGAGCGGUGUCCCUCAGGAGUUGGUCCUGAGACUGAUACUCUUAGAUCUUCAUUAGUGACAUUGACAGUGGGGUUGAGUGCAUGAUCAGCAAGUCUGUGGAUAACACGAAGCUGUGGGACGCAAUCAGCAUGCUCAAGAGAUGGAAUGUCAUACAGUUGGACCUAGACAGGCUUGAGUAGUGGGCCCAGGUGAACCUCAUGAGGUUCAUCAAAUCCAAGUUCAAGGUCUUGCACCUGGGUUGUGGCAACCCCCAUUACCAAUACAAACUGGAGGAUGAAAGGAUUGAAUACAGCGCUGCCGAUAAGGACCUGAGGGUACUGGUGGAUGGGAAACUGGACAUGAGCCAGCAAUGUCCCUUGCAGCUCAGAAAGAUAACCAUAUCCUGAUCAAAAGAAGCAUGGCCAGCAGGUCAAGCAAGGUGAUCCUGCCCCUCUAGUCUGUGCUGGUGAGACCUCACCUGGAGUAUUGUGUCCAGAUGUGGUGUUGUCAGUACAGGAGAAAUAUAGAGCUGUUGCAGCGUGUCCAGAGGAAGGCCACAAAAAUGGUCCAAGGGAUGGACCACCUCUCCUAUGAGUACAAGGUGAAAGAACUGGGGCUGUUCAGCCUGGAGAAGAGAAGGCUUCUCUUGAUAGAAACCUUUCAGAAUCCAAAGUGGAGUUACAGGAAAGAAGGGGACAGACUCUUUAGCAGAGUCUGUUGUGAUCAGACAAAGGGAGAUUGUUUCAAGCUUGAAGAGGGUAGAUUUAGGUUAGAUAUAAAGAAAGUCUUCUGCAGGAAGGGUGGUGCCCCAUCUCUGGGGACUUUCAAGGUCAGAUUGGGCAGAGCUCUGAGCAAACAGAUCUAACUGGGGGUGUCCCUGUAUGUUGCAGGGGAGUUGGACUAGAUGGACGUUAAGGUACCUUCCAGCUCUAAAGAUUCUAUGUUUCUAUCAUUCUAUGAUUCAAUUUGUAUCUGGUGCUGACUACAAAUGAGUUUAUGUGAACAAUAAGGUAAUAGCCAAAUGAACUUGCUCUGAUUGACUUUUGAUUGCACCAAAACCUUGGUUAAUCUCACUGGCUACUACUCCAUCACUAGCAUCAAUGAGGGAAAUGAGAGGACCAUAAUUAUCAGAGGGGACCAAAAACAGGAUCUAUCAAAGACAGCUGCCUCCUGUCCCUUUGGUAGCAUCUGCUUGAGCAGUGCUUUUUUUUUUUUUUUUUUUUUUUCCUGGUGUUUUCUAUGGUGUUUUCUCUUUUCACCUUUAUUCCUUAACAAUCUAUAUUAAAG